rnacentral:rRNA from 1 species
ACGCUAGCGAUAGGCUUAACACAUGCAAGUCGAGGGGCAGCAUGGUCUUAGCUUGCUAAGACUGAUGGCGACCGGCGCACGGGUGCGUAACGCGUAUGCAACUUGCCUCACAGAGGGGGAUAACCCGUCGAAAGACGGACUAAUACCGCGUACACUCUAUGUUGGGCAUCUAAUGUAGAGGAAAUGAAAUUCGCUGUGAGAUAGGCAUGCGUCCCAUUAGCUAGUUGGUGAGGUAACGGCUCACCAAGGCGACGAUGGGUAGGGGAACUGAGAGGUUGAACCCCCACACUGGUACUGAGACACGGACCAGACUCCUACGGGAGGCAGCAGUGAGGAAUAUUGGUCAAUGGGCGAGAGCCUGAACCAGCCAAGUCGCGUGAAGGAUGACUGUCUUAUGGAUUGUAAACUUCUUUUAUACGGGAAUAACAAGAGCCACGUGUGGCUCCCUGCAUGUACCGUAUGAAUAAGCAUCGGCUAACUCCGUGCCAGCAGCCGCGGUAAUACGGAGGAUGCGAGCGUUAUCCGGAUUUAUUGGGUUUAAAGGGUGCGUAGGCGGCCUGUUAAGUCAGCGGUGAAAUCUAGGAGCUUAACUCCUAAAUUGCCAUUGAUACUGGCGGGCUUGAGUGUAGAUGAGGUAGGCGGAAUGCGUGGUGUAGCGGUGGAAUGCAUAGAUAUCACGCAGAACUCCGAUUGCGAAGGCAGCUUACUAAGGUACAACUGACGCUGAAGCACGAAAGCGUGGGUAUCAAACAGGAUUAGAUACCCUGGUAGUCCACGCAGUAAACGAUGAUAACUGGGCGUAUGCGAUAUACAGUAUGCUCCUAAGCGAAAGCGUUAAGUUAUCCACCUGGGGAGUACGCCGGCAACGGUGAAACUCAAAGGAAUUGACGGGGGCCCGCACAAGCGGAGGAACAUGUGGUUU